AAGCUGCAACCCAUAAAGCGACGCUGGUAGUCGGCCCCGCAGUUAGUAAGCGUCGCGACGUCCGUCGAGAACGCGGUAUACAGCGUUUCAGCGUCGAGAUCAUCAGCACGUGGUUAACACAAGCUCCAUCCGAUUUACUUAUACCAGAAAAGGAAAAAGGAUUCACGUGUGCCUUUGCCCAUGAUUUUCUCGUUGUGCUAAUAUCUUGAAAAGUAGCGUAAACAGAUUUUUGAAAAAUGUGUCAUAUAUUUGGGUGUCUCUAGAAACUGAUCUCAUCCUUGAAAAAUGAGUAACAUUGAAAUUAUGUGAUUUGAUAAAUGAAUACCUUAAAGGAAACAAAGGAUGUCAGCUGCAGCGACAGCUCUUCAGUAGUGCCAUAAAGCGAUUAAUGAAGGAUAAGAGCAAAGUUUUGAUAUGUUGAAUUAAUUAAAACGAGAAACGACAUAAUUAACGAUCCGCAUGAUGCCGGAAGGCAACUUGUUUUUCCGAAGAAAAACUUAUUACGCCAUUCCUAUAUUUAUCACAGAAGAAUCUAGAAUGUGUUUGAUUCUAUAAGCUACCGAAUAUCGGUGAAUCGUUUAGCAAAAGGUGUCUGAGACAGAACAAUGGAGUCCUCGAAGCAUUCCGCCGGUUAAUUAAACGAGUGACAAUGAAUAAAGAAAUCGCUAAAUAGUUUGGAGACUUUGUAAAGGAACCAUUGAGUCGGACGUCAAGAAUGUCUUGCGAGAAGGCGUCACGACGCCUUAGGUUCUUGCUCAGCAGGGCCAAGAGGUUAGGUCUGAAUACAGACGAAGUCGUCGAGCUACCAGCCAGCAAGAGACUGUUGUCUACUCGAAUGACUUCCGCUUCUAACACAUGGACAAUCUUAGCCAUGAUCGCUUUGAUCCUUGGCGGUGGUAUUGCGUUUGCCUUCCUGUGCGCACCCUGCUUUGUGAAAAGCACAGCGUGAAACUCAUUUCGGAGGCGAUUUCCGGGGAUUCAACAGGCUUUAAGUCACCAUCAAUUUUUUGAAGACAUAUUGG